rnacentral:siRNA from 1 species
AAAUUUCCCGGACGUAGCGUACC